ensembl:snRNA U1 U1 spliceosomal RNA
GAACUUUCCUCCACUAAGAUACCGUGAUCAUGAAAGUGGUUUUCUCAGGGCAAGGCUUACAAUUGCACUCCAUAUGUAUUGACCCCUGUAAUUUCCCCAAAUGUGGGAAACUCAAUUGCAUAAUUUGUGGUUGUGGGGGACAGUGUUCAUGCUCUCCCCUG